CGCUGGCGGCAGGCCUAACACAUGCAAGUCGAACGGUAGCACAGAGAGCUUGCUCUCGGGUGACGAGUGGCGGACGGGUGAGUAAUGUCUGGGAAACUGCCUGAUGGAGGGGGAUAACUACUGGAAACGGUAGCUAAUACCGCAUAACGUCGCAAGACCAAAGAGGGGGACCUUCGGGCCUCUUGCCAUCAGAUGUGCCCAGAUGGGAUUAGCUAGUAGGUGGGGUAACGGCUCACCUAGGCGACGAUCCCUAGCUGGUCUGAGAGGAUGACCAGCCACACUGGAACUGAGACACGGUCCAGACUCCUACGGGAGGCAGCAGUGGGGAAUAUUGCACAAUGGGCGCAAGCCUGAUGCAGCCAUGCCGCGUGUAUGAAGAAGGCCUUCGGGUUGUAAAGUACUUUCAGCGGGGAGGAAGGUGUUGUGGUUAAUAACCACAGCAAUUGACGUUACCCGCAGAAGAAGCACCGGCUAACUCCGUGCCAGCAGCCGCGGUAAUACGGAGGGUGCAGGCGUUAAUCGGAAUUACUGGGCGUAAAGCGCACGCAGGCGGUCUGUCAAGUCGGAUGUGAAAUCCCCGGGCUCAACCUGGGAACUGCAUUCGAAACUGGCAGGCUAGAGUCUUGUAGAGGGGGGUAGAAUUCCAGGUGUAGCGGUGAAAUGCGUAGAGAUCUGGAGGAAUACCGGUGGCGAAGGCGGCCCCCUGGACAAAGACUGACGCUCAGGUGCGAAAGCGUGGGGAGCAAACAGGAUUAGAUACCCUGGUAGUCCACGCCGUAAACGAUGUCGACUUGGAGGUUGUGCCCUUGAGGCGUGGCUUCCGGAGCUAACGCGUUAAGUCGACCGCCUGGGGAGUACGGCCGCAAGGUUAAAACUCAAAUGAAUUGACGGGGGCCCGCACAAGCGGUGGAGCAUGUGGUUUAAUUCGAUGCAACGCGAAGAACCUUACCUACUCUUGACAUCCAGAGAACUUUCCAGAGAUGGAUUGGUGCCUUCGGGAACUCUGAGACAGGUGCUGCAUGGCUGUCGUCAGCUCGUGUUGUGAAAUGUUGGGUUAAGUCCCGCAACGAGCGCAACCCUUAUCCUUUGUUGCCAGCGGUUAGGCCGGGAACUCAAAGGAGACUGCCAGUGAUAAACUGGAGGAAGGUGGGGAUGACGUCAAGUCAUCAUGGCCCUUACGAGUAGGGCUACACACGUGCUACAAUGGCGCAUACAAAGAGAAGCGACCUCGCGAGAGCAAGCGGACCUCAUAAAGUGCGUCGUAGUCCGGAUUGGAGUCUGCAACUCGACUCCAUGAAGUCGGAAUCGCUAGUAAUCGUAGAUCAGAAUGCUACGGUGAAUACGUUCCCGGGCCUUGUACACACCGCCCGUCACACCAUGGGAGUGGGUUGCAAAAGAAG
rnacentral:rRNA from 1 species